GCAACGACAGCUCUCAUUCAUUUCUAAUUGAACUACGAUCCGAGACGGUUGACAUCUGGGUGGCCGAAAUUCUGCAUGAUGAUGUGUGAAGAAAACACACAUCUGCAGAAAAUAUAAUCUGCCAACAACUAUUGCAUCCAUCCAUUGGUGCUUUUUGCUAUUGAGCAAAAUAAUUAACACAGCUCGUUCCGCUUGAUAAGCUUGAUAAAAGCUUAUAAAAAUUCGUCUAAGCCGUCAUUAGUCAUACAAAAAUAAUACGAAUAGACGGAUAGAAUCCUAACUCUUGUAGUGGAUUUUGAUUCCACGAAUCCGUCAUAUUUUGGCCAGCGGAGGCAGACUAUUUCGUGUCGUGGACUGGCAUCUCUGAGUCUGUUGCCUGCAGAACAAGAACCAUGAAGGCGACACCAUUGGAUUGCAGUGCAUCUCUGGCCUAAGCACUUUUGUACCACUGUGCCGAGCCACGCCCAUCUUUCCGCCGUCUCCUCUUCAUCGCAGCAGCCUCAUCUUCUCCAGUGUGUACCAGUGUAGUGUCUAAAAAACUGUCUAAAAUACAUUAUGACCACAAAAAAAAAUAAUAAGUUAACAAUAAAAGGUCAUACAAUCGUUGUGUAGUGUACAGGCGCAACAGUGAAGUAGUAAAAGCCAAAAAAAAAAACAAUUUAGGAAAAACAUUUUUUUUAAAUAAAAUUUAAAGAUAAAUAUAAAAUAAUUUUAGUGGACGUAUAUUUAUAAGAAGAUACUUGAAAAUAUCAAAUUGUGAUUUGGCACUUAUUUUUUUUUGCGCUAUCAUUUUUUUUCUUUGCUUUCUUAAAGGGUAUGUCCAACUGGAAACAUUAUUGCUAAUAAAUAAUUAAAUAAAUAGUGAAAUAAAUA